UAAUAUUUUAAACUCUUAUCCAUUUUCCCUGUGCGGUGGUGUUUGUACAUAAUGUCUUUAGCUAAGUCUUUUGUUUUUGAAAGUGUCUAGGUCGUAAGUUAGCAGAGUUGACGGUUUUUGUUAAGUCAUGCAACCAAUGCAAGAGUCUUGCGUAUGAUGUUUACUGGGACACGAUUGUCUUGGUUUUGCACUGCCAGGUUACCAAACAAUUUCCGAAGAACUGGCACCCCACUGUCGUCCAUUUUAAAUUCUUUUUGUAGCUUCCGUAACCUGAAUUGUUGUAUGCCAUAAGCUCGAACUUAUUAUCAUGGGGAUACCAGCUGCUAGAUGUGAUACUCUCGACUUUGAUUGAUAUUUGGCACAAAGAUACUUGGGAUACAUAAUGUCAGGUCGUGAUGUCGUAAGGUACAUGAGCAACCCGAUCAUCAAGUGAUAUAACGUCGAAUCUACUAUUUCACCCGAUUCAACAGGACAAAUUCCAUGGUUGAGAGGCAGUGGUGUACUAGUUAGUUUGCAGCCUGCCAUUGUGAAUCGGUUCAAGAGACCAUUCACAUACUUCGUCUAGUGAAUAAGAAUUACAAGAUCUUCAUGGGAUUAUAGAUGGUAUAGUAGUCUCUUUUUAGACGUUGUACGUGUUUAUAUACGUCUUCAACGACAAUAUCUGCAUGGGUUUCACAACACAUCGCUCUCAAGUGGUUGGGUUCAAACAACUUUUGAUUCAUUUUAAACUUCAUCUGUCAGCCCAUGAAUUGUGACAUUAGUUUCAAGUCCAUCAUAUUAUGCCAUAGCCGACUCCCAUUUUCAUUUGAGCCACAAAAAUGGAUAACGCUACUUCAAAAAUCCGUAGGUGAAUUAAUAAAAUUAAUUCUUUGUGGUUGAUUUGUUAGCCAAGGUAUCAUAUGGAAAUGAAGAAACUACGCAUUUCCACCUUCUUUACAAAACGCUUAGCCAAAUCGGUUUGCCUACUAUAAUAUCAGCUGGAAUCGGUUUGCCUACUCUAAUUCUCUGAUUAGCUUGAAGUUCUGUGCCUCUUCUUCUAAUGGAGGUUUAUCUAGAGGUGGAAUCCUUUACUUUUCUUUCUCGAAAUGGUGGAUGAACUUGAAGAACUUCAUGUGACUGCUUACAAAAAGAGGAUGGUGAAGUUGAUCAAUCUUAUUGAUUUCAUUGCUUUUCUAAACCUUGCUUGCAUUUGUUGUCUAUAUUGGUUACUUCAACGACAUUCUUGAAAACGUACACGUCAUUUUUCUCUAUAUUUGGUUUUGCGCACGGCUUGCAUUUGUUGUGUCUCUAAGCGCAACAACGCGAUAAAAAGUCGGUUUAGAAUUUCGUUAUAUUUGACAUUGACGUUGAAGUAUGAACAGUUAGAUUGUGUGAUAAAUCAUUGUAUGAACAGUUUAGAUUGUGAGAUAAAUGAUUGUAUGAAUAGUUUGACAUUGCAUGCUAAACAGAUGAACAAAAAAUGAUUGUUAGAUCUGAUUGUAUGAAUAGUUUAGAUGAUGCAUGUGAGAUCUGAUUGUGUUUAAAGUUGAUAGAUGCAUGGUGAGAUCUGAUUAUUAGUAAAGGGGAUGAGAACAGAUUUUCGAAGGGUUUAUGAGGAUUACGGAUUUGUCUUUGAAAUAUGUACACCUAUG